AACGAACGCUGGCGGCGUGCCUAACACAUGCAAGUCGUACGAGAAAGCCUGGGCAACUGGGUGAGUAAAGUGGCGCACGGGUGAGUAACACGUGGGUAACCUACCCUCGAGUCGGGGAUAACUCCGCGAAAGCGGGGCUAAUACCGGAUGAUGUUUCGGUGUCUUCGGACGCUGAAACCAAAGGUGGCCUCUGCAUGCAAGCUAUCACUUGAGGAUGGGCCCGCGUACCAUUAGCUAGUUGGUAGGGUAAUGGCCUACCAAGGCAACGAUGGUUAGCUGGUCUGAGAGGAUGACCAGCCACACUGGAACUGAGACACGGUCCAGACUCCUACGGGAGGCUG
rnacentral:rRNA from 1 species